rnacentral:hammerhead_ribozyme from 1 species
GUUCAGCUGACCAGUCUGAAAUAUGACGAAACGCGCGUCUUGGAU